GCCCUGAUGGCUCAAUGGUUAAGUGCUUGGCUGCUAACCAAAAGGUGGGUGGUUGGAACCCACUCAGUGGCU
rfam:Loxodonta africana unplaced genomic scaffold scaffold_59, whole genome shotgun sequence.